ACUGUCCUGAGCGAUCCUGCCCAGCCUCCAUGGACUGCUUUCUCCCGGGUCCCUUUCUUGCUCUGUCCUGAGUUGGGCUGUAGGCCAGCCUGGCACUCCUCAGUCUAACUUGCUGCUUUCACUUGCUAAUUAUUCCAAAUAUUUCAGAAGGUCACACACACUGCAGGACAGGCAGGGUUGGGGCCUUACUGUUUCCCAGAAGUCAGUCCCUGUCCCCUUUACACAGAGAGGACUGCCCCAGCAGGCCUCCACUCCAACAGCUCCUUCUCUCUCCCCACCACCCAUCAUACCCCUACCUUUCCAGGGGCCACGGCCGGCCGGCAUUAAGGGAACAAGGAGAAGGGGAGUCCAGCCUCUUCACUAACACCCAGGAUCAGCCUCCAGCCCUGGCCAAGUUUUCGGCGGACACAACAUCUUUGUAUGUGGUGCUGAGAAUAAAACCCUGGGCCGCAUGCAUGCCAGAGUCAGCAAACGGGCCUUUUACCUAUUUGUACGCUGACCACAAGGUCUCCAGAGUGGAGCUGUGCCCAGCUCAGCUAUCCUUACCAGGCCCCACUCCACUGUGCACCAGGACAGAGCAGGGCCCUGAGAUUGCUGAGCCUGGUACUUCAGACCCCUGGCAGCCCAGGUUCAUGUGGCCAGUGUCCAACA